AUAGCGUAUAUUAAAGUUGUUGCAGUUAAAAAGCUCGUAGUUGAACUUCAGGCCUGGCUGAACGGUCUGCCUAACGGUUUGUACUGUUUGGCCGGGUCUUACCUCUUGGUGAGCCGGCGUGCCCUUCACUGGUGUGCGUCGGGGAACCAGGACUUUUACCUUGAGAAAAUUAGAGUGUUCAAAGCAGGCCUAUGCCCGAAUACAUUAGCAUGGAAUAAUAAAAUAGGACGUGCGGUUCUAUUUUGUUGGUUUCUAGAGUCGCCGUAAUGAUUAAUAGGGAUAGUUGGGGGCAUUGGUAUUGAGUCGCUAGAGGUGAAAUUCUUGGAUUGACUCAAGACCAACUAUUG
rnacentral:rRNA from 1 species